rnacentral:rRNA from 1 species
UUCCGGUUGAUCCCGCCGGAAGUCAUUGCUAUCGGGGUCCGACUAAGCCAUGCGAGUCAAUAGUUUUUCGUGAACUAGGCGGACGGCUCAGUAGCACGUGGGUAAUCUACCCUCAGGANAGGGAUAACCCCGGGAAACUGGGGAUAAUACAUGAUAGGUGGAGAGAUCUGGAAUGAUCCUCCGCCCAAAGAUCCUGGCGCCUGAGGAUGAGCCUGCGGCCGAUUAGGUUGUUGGCGGUGUAACGGACCACCAAGCCUGAGAUCGGUACGGGCACUGAGAGGUGGAGCCCGGAGAUGGGGUCUGAGAAACGGCCCCAGGCCUACGGGGCGCAGCAGGCGCGAAAACUCCGCUAAUACGCGAUAGCGUGAUCGGGGGACCCCAAGUGCCCCUGCACUGCAGGGGCUUUU